rnacentral:rRNA from 1 species
AUUGAACGCUGGCGGCAUGCCUUACACAUGCAAGUCGAACGCGAAAGGGGGCAACCCCGAGUAGAGUGGCGAACGGGUGAGCAAUACAUCGGAACACGUCCUGUAGCGGGGGACAACCUCGAGAAAUCGAGGCUAAUACCGCAUACGAUCUACGGAUGAAAGUGGGGGACCGCAAGGCCCCACACUAUAGGAGUGGCCGAUGCCGGAUUAGCUAGUUGGCGGGGUAAUAGCCCACCAAGGCUACGAUCCGUAGCUGGUUUGAGAGAACGACCAGCCACACUGGGACUGAGACACGGCCCAGACCCCUACGGGAGGCAGCAGUGGGGAAUUUUGGACAAUGGGCGAAAGCCUGAUCCAGCCAUGCCGCGUGAGUGAAGAAGGCCUUCGGGUUGUAAAGCUCUUUCGGCGGGGACGAAAUGGCGCGGGGUAACAUCCCGCGUCGAUGACGGUACCCGAAGAAGAAGGACCGGCUAACUACGUGCCAGCAGCCGCGGUAA